rnacentral:rRNA from 11 species
AUAUACAGGGGCGUAAGUACCAUAAAAGCACCUGGUCCCACCUAAACGUGGAAGGCAAGUAGGAGUUGGCCCUGACUGGUGCUUGGAUAGGAGACUGCCAAAGAAUACCAGGUGCUGUAGGUU